rnacentral:rRNA from 1 species
UCCUGAGAAACGGCUACCACAUCCAAGGAAGGCAGCAGGCACGCAAAUUACCCAAUGCCAGCUCUGCGAGGUAGUGACGAAAAAUAACAAUGCGGGACUCUUCCGAGUCUGCGUAAUUGGAAUGAGCACACUUUAAAUCCUUUAGCAACAAUCAAUUGGAGGGCAAGUCUGGUGCCAGCAGCCGCGGUAAUUCCAGCUCCAAUAGCGUAUAUUAAAGUUGUUGCGGUUAAAAAGCUCGUAGUUUGAGGUCGGUUCCGGACUGGGGUGGGAGGUCACCGCCCGGUGCUUCCCCUUCAGGCUCCGAACAGCUUCCUUUGUUGGAAGCCAAGCCGGAUUGGGAUGGGUGCUCUUUACCGAGUGUCCGUUUCGGCCGGCCAGUUCACCUUGAAUAAAUGAGAGUGCUCAAAGCAGGCUACUCUGGAAUACAAUGCCCGAAUGUUAGCUGCAUGGAAUGAUGGAAGAUGAUCUCGGUUGCAUUUUGUUGGUGGUGGCAGCCCGAGGUAAUGAUAAAGAGGGACUGUCGGGGGCAUCCGUACUACGACGCGAGAGGUGAA